rnacentral:rRNA from 1 species
AAUUGUGGACACUGGGGGCAACCCUGAUCCAGCCAUGCCGCGUGUGCGAUGAAGGCCAUCGGGUCGUAAAGCACUUUUGGCAGGGAAGAAAAGGCUCUGGCUAAUACCUGGAGCUGCUGACGGUACCUGCACAAUAAGAACCGGCUAACUACGUGCCAGCAGCCGCGGUAAUACGUAGGGUGCAAGCGUUAAUCGGAAUUACUGGGCGUAAAGCGUGCGCAGGCGGUUCGGCAAGAAGGAUGUGAAAUCCCAGGGCUUAACCUUGGAACUGCAUUCUUAACUGCCGGGCUAGAGUAUGUCAGAGGGGGGUAGAAUUCCGCGUGUAGCAGUGAAAUGCGUAGAGAUGCGGAGGAAUACCGAUGGCGAAGGCAGCCCCCUGGGAUAAUACUGACGCUCAUGCACGAAAGCGUGGGGAGCAAAC